UACGGAGGGGGCUAGCGUUGUUUGGAAUUACUGGGCGUAAAGCGCACGUAGGCGGACUUGAAAGACAGAGGUGAAAUCCCAGGGCUCAACCUUGGAACUGCCUUUGAAACUUCUGGUCUUGAGGUCGAGAGAGGUGAGUGGAAUUCCGAGUGUAGAGGUGAAAUUCGUAGAUAUUCGGAGGAACACCAGUGGCGAAGGCGGGUCACUGGCUCGAUACUGACGCUGAGGUGCGAAAGCGUGGGUAGCAAACAGG
rnacentral:rRNA from 1 species